UCAAAGCAAGCACGGGUUUAUAUUCUUCUGAUUCUUUUUUUUUUUUCUUUUGGUGCCGGAGAUCAAACUUCAGACCUUGCGUUUGCGAGGCAGGCGGUGGAACCACUGAGCUAAAUCCGUGAGGCUGCUGUUUGUGGGUGUGCUUUGCAUUUCGGGGAUUACCACGGUACCAGGGAAGGGUCCCCUUUGCCUGUCCUGGAAGACUCAACAGGAGCUAAAGGCUUAUGAGCUGGAGAUAGAAAGCCUGGGCCAACCACUGUGGCCCUAAUAGAAGUGCAGUGCAAGUUAUACAGGACCACCUUGAGGAUGGGAGCUUCCUUCUGAAGAUGAUGUCCGGUCUCUUCCAGCACUGAAGGCUGCCCACACGCAGCAGCUCAAAGCCCCGCACCAGGCCCACCUCUGUUUCUGUGGUCAGGUCUCUUUCUCCAAGCUGGACUUUCCUGUGUUCUGCUCAUAAGGAUCUUUGUGGUGAUGUGAGGCCCACACAGUAGCACAAAAGAACCACCCCAUCCCGAGACCCUCAGUUUGAUGAGUCUCAGCAAGUCCCCUUACCAUCCCCACAUCCGGGGCGUAAGAGGCAGGCAUUGUUGGGGGGGUGUUAUUUGGCCUGCUGCAGGUGAACAGGAGGGACUGAGAUGUUAGGGCUUCUAGUUAAAGUGGGACCUGGGGAAGAAGGGAUGAUUCAGUUUGUCCAAGGUGAGAGCUAAGGACGAGCAGAAAUUCCAUAGCAGGAAACUAGGAGAAGCUGAAGGUUUUAACUCUUGGGAGGAAAUCGGCUCCAGGAUUAUCUCAAUGACCAGGCUCUUUUCAUUCUUUUUCUUUUUUUUUUCCUUUCUUUUCUCCCCCUCUCCCUCCCUCCUUUCUCUCCCUCCCUCUCUCCCUUUUUGUCAUUUGGAGAUCCUGUCACAGUUACCAGUCCUAGAACAGAGCUUCUCCAGAGAUCAUACCCAUUCCACAGCCUCAGGUCCCCCUGACCCACAUCCUCUACCACCCAUGCACACAACCUCAGAGCACAGCCAGAGGCUCAACUCUGAUGCAUGCCAAGUAGUAGGGUUUUUUUGUUUUGUUUUGUUUUGGGUGGGUACUG